rnacentral:rRNA from 1 species
UACGUAGGGUGCAAGCGUUGUCCGGAAUUAUUGGGCGUAAAGAGCGUGUAGGCGGCCCGAUUAGUCCGCUGUGAAAGUCCAGGGCUCAACCCUGGAAUGCCGGUGGAUACUGUCGGGCUAGAGUCCGGAAGGGGCGAGUGGAAUUCCCGGUGUAGCGGUGAAAUGCGUAGAUAUCGGGAGGAACAUCAGUUGCGAAGGCGGCUCUCUGGACCAGCACUGACACUGAGGCACGAAAGCGUGGGGAGCAAACAGG